GCGUAACGAUUUGGGCGCUGUCUCAACCGUGGACCCGGUGAAAUUGUACUGUUCGUGAAGAUGCGAACUACCCGCGGAAGGACGGAAAGACCCCGUGAACCUUUACUGCAGCUUGGCAUUGGCAUCUGGUACGGCGCGUAGAGGAUAGGCGGGAGCCUUUGAAGCGGGGGCGCAAGCCCCCGUGGAGGCGACCUUGGAAUACCGCCCUCGUCGUGCCGGCUGCCUAACGCGCGGCCGUGAUCCGGCGCGCGGACCGUGCCAGGCGGGUAGUUUGACUGGGGCGGUCGCCUCCCAAAACGUAACGGAGGCGCGCGAAAGGUCCGCUCAGGACGGUCGGCAACCGUCCCGAGAGCGCAAGAGUGCAAGCGGGCUUGACUGCGAGAGAGACACCUCGAGCAGGGACGAAAGUCGGUUCUAGUGAUCCGGCGGCACAGAGUGGAAUGGCCGUCGCUCAACGGAUAAAAGGUACUCCGGGGAUAACAGGCUGAUCUUGCCCAAGAGUCCACAUCGACGGCAAGGUUUGGCACCUCGAUGUCGGCUCAUCGCAUCCUGGGGCUGGAGCAGGUCCCAAGGGUACGGCUGUUCGCCGUUUAAAGCGGUACGCGAGCUGGGUUCAGAACGUCGUGAGACAGUUCGGUCCCUAUCCUCCGCAGGCGCAAGAGGAUUGAGGAGGUCUGCCCCUAGUACGAGAGGACCGGGGUGGACGGACCUCUGGUGCAGCAGUUGUCGACCAACGGCACGGCUGCCUAGCUACGUCCGGCACGGAUAACCGCUGAAAGCAUCUAAGUGGGAAGCCGUCUCCAAGAUGAGUCCUCUUUCCGGUAAGGGCCCAGGCAGAACACCUGGUCGAUAGGCCGCAGGUGCAAGGCGUGCGAGCGCCUCAGCCGAGCGGUACUAAUAGCCCGAGCUCUUCUUCG
rnacentral:rRNA from 1 species